GCGAGCGGCGAGCGGCGACAGCUCCUUCUGGAUGGGUGUGGCGCGAGAUCGAUGGCGGUGAAAAUCGACGGGAGAUGGUGAAGCAAAAUGAAAACAACUACAACGAAAUUGAAUGAUUGCGAUGGAAUUGGAAUAUGCAAGGAAGAAUGAGCCCUAAACCAAAACAAUCGCGAUGGAGCCGAUUCUUUGCGCCAAACGUGAAGUUUGAGCCAACAUUCGAGCAAGUUUGAUGCAAGAAUGGUUGUAAGUUGUCAUAGUCUCAUUUAUUUUGAUUAUUUUAGUUCAUAUUCUCACAUGAGUACAUGAAUUAUUUUGAUUCAUAAAUGAGAAAUAGUAUUAAUAUGCUUAUAUAAAUGGCUUGUAAUUAUUUUGAGGCGUGGAGUCAUUGCUAUUUUGUAUUUGGCUAAUGAUAUUUGGGUUUAGGUAUGAAGUUAUUGUCAUUUAGUAUUUGCCUAACGGAACUUUGUUGAAAAUUUUUGUAGCAUGAGAGUGUGAGAGAUACACAUUAUAAACACUUCAAUUAUAGUGAUUGGCUAUCACGGUGGACGUAGGAGAAUUUUUUCUCUCCGGCUAAGUCUCUUUGUUUAAUUUUUGUUUGUGGUUGUGUGAGUGCGAUUGAUCUUACUUUGCUUCGGCUAGAAUAAUUGGGUAUCUAUCGUGGUAUGCAUUUAUUGAAAAUAGAUGAAUUAAAAUUGGAUAACUGAAAAUAAAAGCCCAAAAAAAGAAAAGGGUGUGUUGAGAAUGUGAGAUGGAAAUGAAAAGAGAAGAGGCGAGAGGGAAGACAAUGGCGACAGUUUUGUUUGGUGAGACAACAACGUCCUGAGAGAGAGACGUAUGUGCUGACAAGCUCCGCCGAAAGAUAAGCCCUUCUCCUCUUUCUUUUCAAAUAAACAUUAUUCAAUUUCAACAUAAUUGCGUUAUCUUCUUGGCGUUUUUCAGCAGCAAAUCGAUUCAUUAGUUUUAAAUUACAUACAGCGUUUGGAUUUGAUUCUCAAUGGGUUUUUUCUGUUUUUUUUAUAAAGGAAGAUGAGUGGGCAAAGCGAAUGGUCCAAAACGCACGCCAAGUGUUUGUGAAAAUGUUUGCGUCAUUUAGACACGCCAAUGGCAUCGGUUGGGCGGACAGGGUGAAAGAGGCGUACUGCCAGCGCCGCCCAUGGGCGGAUUAUUCAUCAUGCCUGACUCAUCUCCACAUGAUAAGCGAAGGGUUAGCUUUUCCCCGACUACUUUUGCUUGCUGUGUUACAUGGAGCAUAUAUUUUAGCAUAACUGGCAGAAAGCAAUAUCCUCACUAGACUCAGCUUGAGCCUUGACUAAACUGCUCGAAUAACUAAAUCAAAGAUUUCUCUAUGAUUUGAUGUAUCAAUAUCUAUGUCGCGUUACCCAUCAAAUCUAAGAGGCACUGUUUUGUUUUAAGCUGGUUGGAGCCAAAUUUACAGAAGACAGCAGGGCAAUAUGGCACCUUCACCUUGAAGGGAACAAGUGAAGGUGAGUUCAAGGAUUCUACUGCUAGGCCAACAGUAAAUGCUAGGAGUAAACUAAUGCGAGGAUAUUGCGAAGGAAAUACGACUUCAAUAUAUGGAAUACAGGGCAAUCAAGAAAUAUUUCCUCAAAAGGCCAUAAUGUGUCAGAAAAUAUAGCUGGGAUAAUACAGUAACUCCUAGCUCUCAGGUGCUUUUCUGGGACUCUUUUGAGUCAGUAUCAGGCUGUCAACAAAUCUUUUAAAGCUUUCUUGAUGACACUAGAGACUUUUAAGAGAAGUAAUAGCAUUGAAACUAUAUAUAUAUAUAUACACUUUGAUUAAAGAAAAGCUGGAAGCUUGCUGAUAAAAUAUUACAAUCUGUGUA